GGGCACAUGGUGUAGUUGGUUAUCACAUCCGCUUAGCAUUUCACCCACAUACUGACAUUGCUUCUGCGGGGGGUGCUGGGUUCAAUUCCCAGUGUGUCCA